CCUACGGGUGGCAGCAGUGGGGAAUAUUGGACAAUGGGCGAAAGCCUGAUCCAGCCAUGCCGCGUGUGUGAAGAAGGCCUUCGGGUUGUAAAGCACUUUCAGUGGGGAAGAAAGCCUUGGGGCUAAUACCCUCGAGGAAGGACAUCACCCACAGAAGAAGCACCGGCUAACUCCGUGCCAGCAGCCGCGGUAAUACGGAGGGUGCGAGCGUUAAUCGGAAUUACUGGGCGUAAAGCGCGCGUAGGCGGUCUGAUAAGCCGGUUGUGAAAGCCCCGGGCUCAACCUGGGAACGGCAUCCGGAACUGUCAGGCUAGAGUGCAGGAGAGGAAGGUAGAAUUCCCGGUGUAGCGGGGAAAUGCGUAGAGAUCGGGAGGAAUACCAGUGGCGAAGGCGGCCUUCUGGACUGACACUGACGCUGAGGUGCGAAAGCGUGGGUAGCAAACAGGAUUACAUACCCGAGUAGUC
rnacentral:rRNA from 1 species